CACGCUGUAAACGAUGUCGACUUGGAGGUUGUGCCCUUGAGGCGUGGCUUCCGGAGCUAACGCGUUAAGUCGACCGCCUGGGGAGUACGGCCGCAAGGUUAAAACUCAAAUGAAUUGACGGGGGCCCGCACAAGCGGUGGAGCAUGUGGUUUAAUUCGAUGCAACGCGAAGAACCUUACCUACUCUUGACAUCCAGAGAAUUCGCUAGAGAUAGCUUAGUGCCUUCGGGAACUCUGAGACAGGUGCUGCAUGGCUGUCGUCAGCUCGUGUUGUGAAAUGUUGGGUUAAGUCCCGCAACGAGCGCAACCCUUAUCCUUUGUUGCCAGCGCGUAAUGGCGGGAACUCAAAGGAGACUGCCGGUGAUAAACCGGAGGAAGGUGGGGAUGACGUCAAGUCAUCAUGGCCCUUACGAGUAGGGCUACACACGUGCUACAAUGGCGUAUACAAAGAGAAGCGAACUCGCGAGAGCAAGCGGACCUCAUAAAGUACGUCGUAGUCCGGAUCGGAGUCUGCAACUCGACUCCGUGAAGUCGGAAUCGCUAGUAAUCGUAGAUCAGAAUGCUACGGUGAAUACGUUCCCGGGCCUUGUACACACCGCCCGUCACACCAUGGGAGUGGGUUGCAAAAGAAGUAGGUAGCUUAACCUUCGGGAGGGCGCUUACCACUUUGUGAUUCAUGACUGGGGUGAAGUCGUAACAAGG
rnacentral:rRNA from 1 species